rnacentral:lncRNA from 1 species
GCUCUCUUUUCAGACUCAGCCUGCCUGCACCCAGGUGAAAUAAACAGCCUUGUUGCUCACACAAAGCCUGUUUGGUGGUCUCUUCACACGGACACGAGUGAAAUUUGGUGCCGUGACUCGAAUCGGGGGACCUCCCUUAGGAGAUCAAUCCCCUGUCCUCCUGCUCUUUGCUCCGUGAGAAAGAUCCACCUACGACCUCAGGUCCUCAGACCGACCAGCCCAAGAAACAUCUCACCAAUUUCAAAUCCAGGAAACCAAAUCAUGGUAUUCUGAAGACCAGAGAUGAUAAUCUCCCUCAUUUGGCUUCCCACUGGGUCCGAUCUGUUAUUCACUACAAAUGCCCAGCUGCUAAGACUACACAAGCACACUCCCUGUAGGCCCAGGAACUAUUGCAGAAGAAAUGGGUGUAUGAGAUUUUAAGGGCUGGUUUUUGAGGGAUAUAAUUAAGUCAAGGUCACAACCUCCAAAUGAAGUUUGGGUACAAAGAUGCCUAAACAGCUGGUAAAACAAUGGCCUUUGCUUCUUGAGCUAUUAUGGGGCACCUUUGCAUCCACCCCAGCUAUUAAGAAUUUCCUUCUCCUGGGCCAGGCACGGUGGCUCAUGCCUGUAAUCCUAGCACUUUGGAAGGCUGAGGCAGGUGGAUCACGAGGUCAGGAGAUCGAGACCAUCCUGGCUAACACGGUGAAACCCCGUCUCUACUAAACAUACAAAAAAUUAGCCGGGCAUGGUGGUGCACACCUGUAGUCCCAGCUACACUGGAGGCUGAGGCAGAAUUGCUUGAACCUGGGAGGUGGAGGUUGCAGUGAGCCGAGAUGGCACCACUGCACUCCAGCCUGGGCAACAGACUGAGACUCCAUAUUAAAAAAAAAAAAAAG